rnacentral:rRNA from 1 species
GAUGAACGCUGGCGGCGUGCCUAAUACAUGCAAGUCGAGCGAACGGACGAGAAGCUUGCUUCUCUGAUGUUAGCGGCGGACGGGUGAGUAACACGUGGAUAACCUACCUAUAAGACUGGGAUAACUUCGGGAAACCGGAGCUAAUACCGGAUAAUAUUUUGAACCGCAUGGCUCAAAAGUGAAAGACGGUCUUGCUGUCACUUAUAGAUGGAUCCGCGCUGCAUUAGCUAGUUGGUAAGGUAACGGCUUACCAAGGCAACGAUGCAUAGCCGACCUGAGAGGGUGAUCGGCCACACUGGAACUGAGACACGGUCCAGACUCCUACGGGAGGCAGCAGUAGGGAAUCUUCCGCAAUGGGCGAAAGCCUGACGGAGCAACGCCGCGUGAGUGAUGAAGGUCUUCGGAUCGUAAAACUCUGUUAUUAGGGAAGAACAUAUGUGUAAGUAACUGUGCACAUCUUGACGGUACCUAAUCAGAAAGCCACGGCUAACUACGUGCCAGCAGCCGCGGUAAUACGUAGGUGGCAAGCGUUAUCCGGAAUUAUUGGGCGUAAAGCGCGCGUAGGCGGUUUUUUAAGUCUGAUGUGAAAGCCCACGGCUCAACUGUGGAGGGUCAUUGGAAACUGGAAAACUUGAGUGCAGAAGAGGAAAGUGGAAUUCCAUGUGUAGCGGUGAAAUGCGCAGAGAUAUGGAGGAACACCAGUGGCGAAGGCGACUUUCUGGUCUGUAACUGACGCUGAUGUGCGAAAGCGUGGGGAUCAAACAGGAUUAGAUACCCUGGUAGUCCACGCCGUAAACGAUGAGUGCUAAGUGUUAGGGGGUUUCCGCCCCUUAGUGCUGCAGCUAACGCAUUAAGCACUCCGCCUGGGGAGUACUACCGCAAGGUUGAAACUCAAAGGAAUUGACGGGGACCCGCACAAGCGGUGGAGCAUGUGGUUUAAUUCGAAGCAACGCGAAGAACCUUACCAAAUCUUGACAUCCUUUGACAACUCUAGAGAUAGAGCUUUCCCCUUCGGGGGACAAAGUGACAGGUGGUGCAUGGUUGUCGUCAGCUCGUGUCGUGAGAUGUUGGGUUAAGUCCCGCAACGAGCGCAACCCUUAAGCUUAGUUGCCAUCAUUAAGUUGGGCACUCUAAGUUGACUGCCGGUGACAAACCGGAGGAAGGUGGGGAUGACGUCAAAUCAUCAUGCCCCUUAUGAUUUGGGCUACACACGUGCUACAAUGGACAAUACAAAGGGCAGCGAAACCGUGAGGUCAAGCAAAUCCCAUAAAGUUGUUCUCAGUUCGGAUUGUAGUCUGCAACUCGACUACAUGAAGCUGGAAUCGCUAGUAAUCGUAGAUCAGCAUGCUACGGUGAAUACGUUCCCGGGUCU